UAUUGGUCAAUGGGCGCAAGCCUGAACCAGCCAAGUCGCGUGAGGGAAGACGGUCCUAUGGAUUGUAAACCUCUUUUGUCGGGGAGCAAAGCGCGGUACGAGUACCGUGAAGGAGAGUACCCGAAGAAAAAGCAUCGGCUAACUCCGUGCCAGCAGCCGCGGUAAUACGGAGGAUGCGAGCGUUAUCCGGAUUUAUUGGGUUUAAAGGGUGCGUAGACGGAUUUGUAAGUCAGCGGUAAAAAUGCGGUGCUCAACGCCGUAUCGCCGUUGAAACUGCAUCCCUUGAGUGCGCGAGAAGUAUGCGGAAUGCGUGGUGUAGCGGUGAAAUGCAUAGAUAUCACGCAGAACUCCGAUUGCGAAGGCAGCAUACCGGCGCGCAACUGACGCUCAUGCACGAAAGCGUGGGUAUCGAACAGG
rnacentral:rRNA from 1 species